rnacentral:misc_RNA from 1 species
GUGAAUCAUCGAAUCUUUGAACGCAUAUUGCGCCCGAGACUUCGGUCGAGGGCAUGUCUGCCUCAGCGUCGGUUUUAACCCUCGCUCCCCUUCCCAGCUUUUAACCAAGCUAGGGAGUCGGCCGCUUUCUACAAAGUGGCUUGGGCGCGGAUGUGGCUUUCCCACUCGAGCUGGUCAUUCGUGGCUGCGCCGGGUGGGUCAGCUGAAACACAGAGGCUAGAGCAAGGACCCGUUAUGGGCUCAACUGGAUAGGUAGGCGUGGUUGGCUUCGGCCGGCCCAACUACACGAAGUUGACGCUU